rnacentral:rRNA from 1 species
AUUGAACGCUGGCGGCAGGCCUAACACAUGCAAGUCGCGCGAGCGGCGGACGGGUGAGUAAUGUCUGGGAAACUGCCUGAUGGAGGGGGAUAACUACUGGAAACGGUAGCUAAUACCGCAUACCAUCAGAUGUGCCCAGAUGGGAUGAGCUAGUAGGUGGGUUAACGGCUCACCUAGGCGACGAUCCCUCGCUGGUCUGCGAGGAUGACCAGCCGAACGGGGACGGAGGCGCGGGCCAGACGCCUAGGGGAGGCAGCAGUGGGGAAUAUUGCACAAGGGGCGCAAGCCUGAUGCAGCCAUGCCGCGUGUGUGAAGAAGGCCUUCGGGUUGUAAAGCACUUUCAGCGGGGAGGCGUUACCCGCAGAAGAAGCACCGGCUAAAUCCGUGCCAGCAGCCGCGGUAAUUC